UCCAUCUCUACCAUGACCACAACCUGCUAUUAACUAGGCUGUUCCUCGCUCUUGUCAUCCAUCUCUUCUUCAGAGCUUCUAGCACACCAGUAGUCUGGGCCCGGGAGCAGUAGAGCAAGCGCGCGGUUCUGGGGCAGACUCGAUCGAGAGCGAGAUGGAUGGAGAGAAAUAUGAUGUUGCUGCCGCUGGAGCGGAAUGGAGAAGGGAGGAAGUUGAAGUUGUCGGUUUUCUUCGCACACCCAAAUCGUCUUGAAUCUUGAUAGCUUCCUUUUGUCUACUUGGCUUGAGGAGGAGGACAUCGCGUCGAGCAGAGGAAUUCAAGAGUUUACAAGCAUCGAUGCGUCAUGGCUCGAGUGUUAUCUGCCGUAAUCUGUUUCUGUUUUUGAGAUUGUCUUCAAGUUGGAAGUUGAGUAGGUAAUACUAGUAAUAGCAGAAGUGGCCUUUCGCGAUGGCCGUGGUGAACUAUCUUUUGCCUAGCGUUGUAACAUCUCCGUGGAUCGAGUCAUCGAGGGUGACCAUCUGGUCUAAUGCUGCUACUAUUAGAACUUGGAGAAAAAAAAAAUGUCUUUUGGUUUGGAUCCUGGAAACAACUUGGCCUUGUCUCUUUUGGUGAACAA